AAUUCGCCCUUAGAGUUUGAUCCUGGCUCAGAUUGAACGCUGGCGGCAGGCCUAACACAUGCAAGUCGAGCGGUAGAGAGAAGCUUGCUUCUCUUGAGAGCGACGGACGGGUGAGUAAUGCCUAGGAAUCUGCCUGGUAGUGGGGGAUAACGUUCGGAAACGGACGCUAAUACCGCAUACGUCCUACGGGAGAAAGCAGGGGACCUUCGGGCCUUGCGCUAUCAGAUGAGCCUAGGUCGGAUUAGCUAGUUGGUGGGGUAAUGGCUCACCAAGGCGACGAUCCGUAACUGGUCUGAGAGGAUGAUCAGUCACACUGGAACUGAGACACGGUCCAGACUCCUACGGGAGGCAGCAGUGGGGAAUAUUGGACAAUGGGCGAAAGCCUGAUCCAGCCAUGCCGCGUGUGUGAAGAAGGUCUUCGGAUUGUAAAGCACUUUAAGUUGGGAGGAAGGGCAGUAAAUUAAUACUUUGCUGUUUGACGUACCGACAGAA
rnacentral:rRNA from 1 species